AGAGAGAAAAAACUUUACCAAACACAAGAUGAAUGAAAUAGUUAUAUAGAUCUACAGAUACCUUACAUAAACAAAGGAGGAAUAACAACAAGCAAGGGAGGAGCCGUUUCAAAGACAAACACCGCCUACUACUACUACUACACUCACGUGGACUUGCUGAGGUCAAAUUUAAAACCAUGAAAUUUUCCCAUCUCUGAAGAGCACUACUGCUGACCAUUUCUGCAGGCGCAAAAUCAUCACCAAGAAGAACAAACGUGCUUUGUAAGACAAUUACUUUUUUAACUAGAAGACGGGAUAAAUUUAGGCUAUUGUAAUUUGGUCUCUCUCGCUCCCUGAGUGUACUCUGCUGCCUGCAUCCAUUUAUUGCGACCUCUUAUGGUGGAAGUGAUGCGACCUCUUGUGAUGACAAUGACAAAAUUGGAAAGUAGGGUGCAAGAUCAGCAGAAGUCACUAGAAAUAAUGAUAGGUACCAUCGAACAUUUGAAACAAACUCAGGCUGCUGCACACCUGGACCUGAUUUAUCCCUGCUGGACGGAUUGCUACCAAUACAAAGAUAUGUAGACUUUGAGGACUUUGAACAACAGAUAAAUGGGGAAAGUCCCCUUAGAAAGUCACUGGUACAUAGACUCUAGAUUCUUGGGGGAGCAACCGCAUCAGCAGUCAAAACCAUGAUUGACUUCUGCAUGACAAGUGGACUCCAGUAUGAGUUCAACUGGGAAGGUCGUCUUGGCUGGAAGACGAAAACAAAUACAUGCAAGAAAGGGUUCAAGAACACGACAUUGUGUGGAAUUAUAAUAAAUAUUCUGGUGAACAAGACACAAUUAUCAACUGAUGAAACUGAAGUAGGGAAAACUAUGAUGAUUUAUCUAAGAAAUGCAUGUGACAGAUACUUGGGAAGGAAAAGACCAAAAGACUUGCGCAGUCAGCAAAGUCAAGAUGAGAAUCCCAAUUCAUCUCAACCUAAUUCUGGUGGGGAUCCUGAAGGAAUAUGAUAUAGAGCACUUUUGCUGACUGUUGUCAAGGAAAU